ensembl:lncRNA
GCUUCUCAGUUUUGCUGCGUCACAGUGUUAGGAAGGGGUGUUGGUGUGUUCUGCUCUGCCGUGCGUGGCUAACUUUUCAGUCUGUGGAAUGUGCUACUGAAAUACCCUCAGCAGUUCUGUACCUAUAUUUCUACUGAAAGAAAAUUCUGUAACUUCAAAAAUGGCAGUCUUCCAGAAAUGGAAAUACACUGAUCAACAGGAAACCUAAGGUCCAAAAUUGCAAAGGGUUGUGGCUACAGAUUUAGAUAGGAAUGAAGCAUACUGUCUGGAGAUCCAUGGAAUUCCUACCAAGAAGGAUGAAACUUUAUGCCAAG